CCUACGGGGGGCUGCAGUCGAGAAUCAUUCACAAUGGGGGAAACCCUGAUGGUGCGACGCCGCGUGGGGGAAUGAAGGUCUUCGGAUUGUAAACCUCUGUCAUGUGGGAGCAAAUUAAAAAGAUAGUACCACAAGAGGAAGAGACGGCUAACUCUGUGCCAGCAGCCGCGGUAAUACAGAGGUCUCAAGCGUUGUUCGGAAUCACUGGGCGUAAAGGGUGCGUAGGUGGUUUCGUAAGUCGUGUGUGAAAGGCGCGGGCUCAACCCGCGGAUUGCACAUGAUACUGGGAGACUAGAGUACUGGUGGGGGAACCGGAAUUCGCGGUGUAGCAGUGAAAUGCUUAGAUAUCGAGAGGAACACUCGUGGCGAAGGCGGGUUCCUGGACAUCCACUGACGCUGAGGCACGAAGGCCAGGGGAGCGAAAGGGAUUAGAUACCCUAGUAGUC
rnacentral:rRNA from 1 species